rnacentral:lncRNA from 1 species
GCGCUUUGUGCUGGUCUUAACAGGAGUUGCAUGCAUGCCACUGCUAGUUCCCUUGCGGCCGCACGCAUGUCCCCUGAGCUAGAUGGGACGUUUAAAAAGCGCUGUAACUGUGGUUUUAUUCCUCUCCCGCACUCAAUUCCAUUCCAUUCACCUCCUCUUUCUCCCCUUUCUCCGCGUCAUCUUGCUACCUUCCUUGCCAUUAUCUCGCUGACAGCGAAGAUGUUUGUAUUGGCGAGCGGUGGAGGCGGUGGAGGCAGUGGAGGGGGUGGAGGCGGUGGAGGGGGUGGAGGCGGUGGAGGCACCACCAGGAAACCACCAGUGGCCCCGUCCGGUGCAGCCCGGAACAGCUCAGG